GAUGAUUUUCAUUAUUGGCCAAGAAGCUUAUAAGCAACAGAAUGCAACCAACAGUCACUACUCUGUGAACUUCCAGAAAGAAGCCAAAUCCUUCAGUCUCAGUAUCUCAGACUCCCAGCUGGAGGAUGCUGCAAUGUAUUUCUGUGCUUUCAUGAAGGCCAACUAGUGGAAGUAGCAGGUAUAAACUGACAUUUGGAAAAGGAACUCUCUUAAUCGUGAAUCCAA